rnacentral:rRNA from 1 species
GACAGAGGAUGCGAACGUUGCUCGGAAUUACUGGGCGUAAAGCGCGCGCAGGCGGCCUUGUAAGUCUGAUGUGAAAGCCCGGGGCUCAACCCCGGAAGCGCACCGGAUACUGCGAGGCUGGGGUCUUGAAGAGGAGAGCGGAAUUCCCCGGUGUAGAGGUGAAAUUCGUAGAUAUCGGGAGGAACACCAGUGGCGAAAGCGGCUCUCUGGGCAAUGACCGACGCUGAGGCGCGAAGGGCGUGGGAAGCAAACAGG